GGGGGACCUUCGGGCCUCUUGCCAUCGGAUGUGCCCAGAUGGGAUUAGCUAGUAGGUGGGGUAACGGCUCACCUAGGCGACGAUCCCUAGCUGGUCUGAGAGGAUGACCAGCCACACUGGAACUGAGACACGGUCCAGACUCCUACGGGAGGCAGCAGUGGGGAAUAUUGCACAAUGGGCGCAAGCCUGAUGCAGCCAUGCCGCGUGUAUGAAGAAGGCCUUCGGGUUGUAAAGUACUUUCAGCGGGGAGGAAGGGAGUAAAGUUUAUUCCUUUGCUCAUGGACGU
rnacentral:rRNA from 1 species